AGGACGAACGCUGGCGGCGUGCUUAACACAUGCAAGUCGAACGGAAAGGCCCUUUCGGGGGUACUCGAGUGGCGAACGGGUGAGUAACACGUGGGUGAUCUGCCCUGCACUUUGGGAUAAGCCUGGGAAACUGGGUCUAAUACCGAAUACACCCUGCUGGUCGCAUGGCCUGGUGGGGGAAAGCUUUUGCGGUGUGGGAUGGGCCCGCGGCCUAUCAGCUUGUUGGUGGGGUGAUGGCCUACCAAGGCGACGACGGGUAGCCGGCCUGAGAGGGUGUCCGGCCACACUGGGACUGAGAUACGGCCCAGACUCCUACGGGAGGCAGCAGUGGGGAAUAUUGCACAAUGGGCGCAAGCCUGAUGCAGCGACGCCGCGUGGGGGAUGACGGCCUGCGGGUUGUAAAGCACUUUUAGUGGGGACAAAAAAGCUACGGAUUAAUACUCUGUGGUCUUGAUUUAACCCAAAGAAAAGCACCGGCUAACUCUGUGCCAGCAGCCGCGGUAA
rnacentral:rRNA from 1 species